UGGCGGCCGUGGGAUCCAAAGAGGACUUCAGCCAGCUUCAGGGACAAGAAACAGAGACCUGGUACCUGCAAACCCCUUGAGUUCUCUUUGUCACCAUCUCUGAGGGCCCUGGAGCCCACAGAUGGGAAUCCUGGAAAAAGAAGGGCGAGAAUCCUUACCUGAGUUUGCUCUCCCAAGUUACUGUGGCCCACUCAAGAGAGGAAGGAACCAAAGUUGUUCUCAUCAGAAGGGAAAAACUGUGGGAGAGUGGUGUUCUCCAAGGUGGAAAAUGUUGUCUUCACAAGUAUCAGUGAAAAGUUGAAGUCCCCUUGACUCACCCUUUUACCAGAAGCAUGAUGUGAAUGUGAUCCUCUUAUAAAUGGACCCUUGAUUGUUUUACUCUGAUGAUUCUGCAAAACCGACACGCAUGGAAAGAACCCUACCAAGAACUCUGGACCGCUGACAUUCCUGCCAAAUUAGAAGGUGUUGAACCCGGGGUGCCUAUGUCACAACUGGGGAAGGCUCCAACUGACUUUGGGUCCGGUACAAAAGCCGGAGACCUCAAACUCAAAUGGGCCAGCAAGAGAGGUCGACUGCUUCUUCCCAAGAUGGGGGGUUUCGAUCCAUGUUCGCAGCCAUUAACCACCUAGCAAAUAAUCCCCCUAAGAACAGAACUUCAGAAAAGGAACAAAGAGAAUGACCAACGGAAAGAACGAACCUGAUGUCAUGACCCGUGAAUACCACACAGACAUUUGGCAAAAGACCACGGGAACACCCGAGCUUUAGAGGGAAGCGGCCCCAAUGCCUUAAGUUGUGAUCCCAUCUCUCAGGCUGAGAAUCGGAUCAAAAGGAGGGACAUGUUGAAAACAAGAAAAUAGGCCCCAAAUGGAGUCACUCACGCUAAGGUCCACGUCACAGAACAGACUUCACCGAACUCCGGCUCUCUCAGAAAUGGAGUCUUAAACCAGUCAGGGCAUCUGCCUGACAGACCCCUGCCAUUCCCUAAAGGAAAGUGACUUGGCCAUAUCCAAACGAUUCUUGUCUAGUGGAGCCUCCUUGUUACCUCUCCCUCCUGGCUAUAAAAGUCUCAUUGUGCCUAGUUCCUCUGAGCUCCUUUCUUCUGCUAGACAAGAGGCUGCUUCAUUCAUAAAUUGACGAAUAAAGCCAACAGAAUCUUUCAGAUUGC